GUUUCAGAUGCUUAAGCCAGUUCUAGUGUGAAUGUCUCUCUGCCCACUGCCUUCACAUCUGAACGGAGAACUCUUAAUUACUUCUGCAGCUCCUUGUCGGCCACAUGCUAGCAAGCUUCCCGCCGUGAUGACAGUGGACGAAACCUCUGAACGCCACAGUCAGCUAGCUUUAGAGACCAGUGGCAAAAGGGGACUGAAGGACUCUGACCCUCGACUGACUCUCCACAAGCUGCCAUGACAGACCGAGUCUUCGCCAAAGUGUGUAACACGUGUAAAAUGAUGAAUGUAUUUUUAGUGGAACAGGCUCUCUGCCUCAGGAGGCAGGCCACUGGGACACGCUUCUGUCCCUCCUAUCAAGGAACGGAAAUGCUUGGUAGGAUCUGGUUGGUUGAAGCCUGUUUCCUGUGUGGCCACACAGAGCUGGUGGGACCCUUAAAAGGUCUGGGCGGCUAGGAAACGAACAAGCAGCCUCUGACUACACCUGUGGAGCCAUAUAAUCUUGGGCUGGGAACACUAUCAACCUCCUUCAGGUAUUGCAUUAUAAGAAUGAAAAAUGGGCUAAGACAGUGCCUCUGUGGGAUCUGGAUGGGAUAAAAUAGGCUGACAUACUAAGUCUUGAUCUGACCCCCUAAACUACUAACACCUCUAGAGUUCUGGACAAACACAGGACUCCACCUCUCCACCCCAGCAGAGUUGAGGAUUCAGCCCAGGGCCUUCUGCAUGCUCAGAGGUACAUUCCCAGACCUAGAAUACUUCUUGUACAUCUUUUCUACCAUGGUCUAUCUCUAGGAAAGAAACAGCUCCCAUUGCCUGACCUGCCCCAGCCCCUACCGAAACAGCCCAAAAGCUCAAACCAUGCCAUUGAGUCCACCACACCAUCAGUUACACAGGUUUUAUCAGUAGGAAGUCAUUUGGUGAGAGUGUUCCACCUUAUGAAGCUAUCCCAUUUCCCAGCGCCCUUACAGUGUUAGUUAGAGUGGUCAUAUGCAGGAUGGGUGACAGCAGUUAGUGACACAGCCCGUCCAUUGUGAGCCAGAUGAUGUCAGAGGCCCUGCAGUGCAAGUGGCCGGGCAGCAGCGUUCCCAUGCACACCCCUCUCCAGGGAACGUUUCCAGUCAGGCCCCGUCCUCCUUCCCAAACUCCUUACUCCGAGAGCUUUAGUUGGACCCAUAUUUGGUUAUAUUUGAGGAAGGGGCAUGCUGGGCCAAAGGCCUAAAGGAGAAACUAUGCGUAUAUAAAGUAGUGAGAAGUUUAGUUCCCGCAUACUGUCUGGGAAAGCAAUAGGCCGAGAUCAUAUAACACCAGAUCCAAAACCAAACCCUCUUCCUCCAUUUGGGAGAACAACUGGCUGCUUUGAUCAAAUCUCAAUUCAAAGGCUGCAGGGAUAAGUUGUCAUACUUUGGAAGUCUUAGUGGCUACAGGACAUUGCUGCUGCCAGGCGGCCUUGCUAAUCAUCAGAACUCACAGAUGUCUGUGUGUGUGUGUGUGUGUGUGUGUGUGUGUGUGUGUGUGUGUGUUUUAAAGUGGGUAUCCUUCAUCAAGAUAACAUAAAUUGACCGACAAAAGGAAAUGACAGACAGCGGGCAGGGGAAGCAGGAGGUGGGAGCAAAUGUCCCCGCUAAAACCAGCACCCCACACCCAGGAGAAAAUGUCCCUGCUCUGGAAAUGCUCAACUUGACUCCAGCCAGUCAGGAAAACCCUGGCACAAGAGCGUCAGUCGCGGGUUGGGUGACCAGUGAGAAAGCGGCACAGGGCUGAGGAGUGUGUGGGCCUAACAAAGCAAGAAGCCAGGAGGAAAGGUCACGGGGCUUGGCUAAAAUUAGAACUUAUCAGAUAGAUUUAAGUCCUGAAAAUGUUAUCCCUC